UACAGAGGGUGCUAGCGUUGUUCGGAAUCAUUGGGCGUAAAGGGCGUGUAGGCGGUUUGUUAAGUCAUGUGUGAAAUCCCCGGGCUUAACCUGGGAACUGCGUUUGAAACUACAAGGCUAGAGUACGUCAGAGGGGGGUAGAAUUCCACGUGUAGCAGUGAAAUGCGUAGAGAUGUGGAGGAAUACCGAUGGCGAAGGCAGCCCCCUGGGAUGAUACUGACGCUCAUGCACGAAAGCGUGGGGAGCAAACAGG
rnacentral:rRNA from 1 species